UGCAAUUUUCCAAUAAUGGAUGGACCAGGAAACGAACAGGGUCAACAGCCAAGAGGAGGAAGAAGAGGAGCAAGGAUGCGUGGUGGAAGGCAAAACAGAGGAAGAGGCAGAAGAGGACAUAGGCGCAUAUCUGAUGACAUAAGGGUCACUAUUGUAGACCAUGUUGUCAAUCAUGGCCUUGCAAUGGCUGAGGCUGGUCGACAGGUGCAGCUGAAGAUUGGGAGAUCAACCGUGUCCUCAAUAGUUCAAACGUUUCGGAGAGAGAACAGGAUUGCAAGAUUACCUCAAACCGGUGGCAGAGGACGCCUUUUCACACCUCAACAGGAGGAGGCUAUUUGCACCAUGAGCUAAGGAGCUACGGUACCAGCAUGUACAGUGUAUAAUGGAGUUGGAAUCAAGUGAACCCUCUCACAACUUUGUAUAUGUGG